UACGUAGGCAGCGAGCGUUGUUCGGAUUUACUGGGCGUAAAGGGCGCGUAGGCGGCACCGCAAGUCGACUGUGAAAUCUCCGGGCUUAACUCGGAAAGGUCAGCCGAUACUGCGGGGCUAGAGUGCAGAAGGGGCAACUGGAAUUCUCGGUGUAGCGGUGAAAUGCGUAGAUAUCGAGAGGAACACCUGCGGCGAAGGCGGGUUGCUGGGCUGACACUGACGCUGAGGCGCGAAAGCUAGGGGAGCGAACGGG
rnacentral:rRNA from 1 species